rnacentral:rRNA from 1 species
CCUACGGGCGGCAGCAGUGGGGAAUAUUGCGCAAUGGGCGAAAGCCUGACGCAGCGACGCCGCGUGAGGGAUGAAGGUCUUCGGAUCGUAAACCUCUGUCAGCAGGGAAGAACGGUCACUGUGCUAAUCAGCAGUGAAUUGACGGUACCUGCAAAGGCAGCACCGGCUAACUCCGUGCCAGCAGCCGCGGUAAUACGGAGGGUGCGAGCGUUAAUCGGAAUUACUGGGCGUAAAGCGCUCGUAGGCGGUAUGUCAAGUCAAGGGUGAAAUCCCCGGGCUCAACGUGGGAACUGCCUUUGAACCAGGCAAACUGGAGAGUGUGAGAGGAUAGUGGAAUUCCAGGGGUAGGAGUGAAAGCCGUAGAUAUCGGGAGGAACAUCAGUGGCGAAGGCGACUAUCUGGCACAUAACUGACGCUGAGGAGCGAAAGCGUGGGUAGCAAACAGGAUUAGAUACCCUUGUAGUC